UGAGGAAUUUUGGGCAAUGGGGGAACCCUGACCCAGCGACGCCGCGUGGGCGAUGAAGGUCUUCGGGUCGUAAAGCCCUGUGAGUGGGGAAGAAGGGAUUGGUUGCUAAUAUCAACCAGUUUUGACAGUACCCACAGAGGAAGCCCCGGCUAACUACGUGCCAGCAGCCGCGGUAAAACGUAGGGGGCUAGCGUUGUUCGGAAUUACUGGGCGUAAAGCGCGUGUAGGCGGUUUUGUAAGUCGGAAGUGAGAUUCCUCGGCUCAACCGAGGAACUGCUUUCGAGACUACUGAACUUGAGUAUGGGCGGGGAGAGCGGAAUUCCCGGUGUAGCGGUGAAAUGCGUAGAUAUCGGGAAGAACACCAGUGGCGAAGGCGGCUCUCUGGACCAUUACUGACGCUGAGACGCGAAAGCGUGGGUAGCAAACAG
rnacentral:rRNA from 1 species